UACGUAGGGUGCGAGCGUUGUCCGGAAUUAUUGGGCGUAAAGAGCUCGUAGGCGGUCUGUUGCGUCGGCUGUGAAAACCCGGGGCUCAACUCCGGGCCUGCAGCCGAUACGGGCAGACUGGAGUACUGCAGGGGAGACUGGAAUUCCUGGUGUAGCGGUGGAAUGCGCAGAUAUCAGGAGGAACACCGGUGGCGAAGGCGGGUCUCUGGGCAGUAACUGACGCUGAGGAGCGAAAGCGUGGGGAGCGAACAGG
rnacentral:rRNA from 1 species